rnacentral:rRNA from 1 species
GAUGAACGCUGGCGGUAUGCCUAACACAUGCAAGUCGUACGAGAGUUUUUAACUCUAGUGGCGGACGGGUGAGUAACACGUGAGAAUUUGCCUUUAGGAGGGGGAUAACAAUUGGAAACGAAUGCUAAUACCCCAUAUGCUUUUGAGUGAAAUGGAUUUUAUCCGCCUAGAGAGAAGCUCGCGGCUGAUUAGCUUGUUGGUAAGGUAAGAGCUUACCAAGGCGACGAUCAGUAUCUGGUUUGAGAGGACGAUCAGACACACUGGAACUGAGACACGGUCCAGACUCCUACGGGAGGCAGCAGUGGGGAAUUUUCCGCAAUGGCGAAAGCCUGACGGAGCAAUACCGCGUGAGGGAAGAAUGCCUAUGGGUUGUAAACCUACUUUUUCUAGGGAGGAAGUAAAAUAGACGUGUACCUGAAGAAUAAGCAUCGGCUAACUACCGUG